AACGCAUAUUGCGCCCUGCGGCACUCCGCAGGGCAUGCCCGUCCGAGCGUCAUUUCACCCCCCUCAGGCCUCGCCUGGCGUUGGGGCUCCGCGGCUCCGCGGUCCCUGAAAAGCAGUGGCGGGCUCGUCCGCGGUCCCGAGCGCAGUAGAACCUCGCUCAGGGUGCCUGGCGGGUCUGGCCGUUAAGCCCCGGCGGUGUCACACGCCCCGAAACAUGACGAGUUGACCUCGGAUCGGGUAGGAAUACCCGCUGAACUUAA
rnacentral:misc_RNA from 1 species